rnacentral:misc_RNA from 1 species
GCAUAUCAUAGUCACUUGGAAAAGCAUCUGUUUGAUCUCCUGAUGGGAAAUCAGAUACUAAAAGUAUAGAAAAUGAACAAAGCUAAAAAGAAUAAUACAAAAUAAAAGGAUAUUAGCUCAACAUGAUGAAACCACAUUGAGAAACUGAACCCCAGGAACUAAUAAGAAUGGAACACUACUGAUGAUACAAUCAUUUUUCUUAUGUAAACAUCUAUUUGAGACAAACAAAUAACCAAAGAAGAGAAAAUAAAGCAAAGAUUUUGAGCAAACACAUUUAAGUUCAACAUUUACUCUUGAAUUUAGUAUACCUCUCUACAUGUCAGGCACGGGAUAGGUGACAACCGGUGUAUUACUUCUGGCUGCUGGUGCCCUUCUUCUUCAGUAGGCUUCCGAAUUUAUGAAGCAAAGGUUUCUUCUUCUUCUGACUUUGUGGCUUUGUAGGAGAUGUGCCACCAUUCUCAGGAUUUUCCGCUGAAGGUAAUCCGUUUACCUGGUCGUAGCUCUCUCCAGCCUCUGUCUUUGAAUCUGAUUCCUCCUCUUGUACUGUCUCUCUUUCAGGAGAGAAGUCUUUGUCGCCAAUCUUGCAGCUCUCCCACAUUUUAAACUCACCAUCUGCUGAAUCAUCGUCUUCCUUUUGUUUGUUGUUGUUUCCAGUCAGUUCUCCAUUUGGCUUCUCAUCUUCACUGAGCGUCUCAACAGCUUUAUCAUGCAAGGUGAUGUUCACUACUUCAGAUUUUUCUUCUGGGAUUGGCUCAGAUUGAUGAGGCGUAACUUCAAUCUUAGGCUUCUCCUCCACUCUUCCUCCUCCAUUUUGUUCGGAGAAUUCCACCACCUUUGGAAGCAUGUCAUAGUCUUUUUCACUUUCAGAAAGCUCUCCAUUUUCUUCAGAUUCCUUUUUGGCCAAAGCUUCUUUGAGGGACUUGGACAACUCUUCAACUUUCUUUAAAGAUUCGGCCUCUCUACUUCGAAGCUCCUCAUUCUCCUGAAGAAUAUUCUGCACUUCAUUUUCCUUGUCCAUUAAAGACUCCUUCAACUUCAUGCUCUCACCCUUUGCUUCACCAAGAAUCUCCUUUAGAUAGGUCACCUCAGAUUCAGCUUCCUGUAGAGAAUUCUUUAACUGAACUGCUUCUUCUUUGAAAGCAGCUUCUUGCUCAGCCUCUUUUAGCAGAUUUACCAAUCGGUUUAUUUCCAUUUCCAUUGAAGAAUUCUCUUCUUCAGUUUUCUUUACACAACUCAUCAGAUGAAGCUCCUUGUCCUCCCACUCAGCCUUCAAAAUCUGGUUAUCAUUCUUAGAUUGUUCGACUGAAGUAGUGAGAUCAUCAAUUUUCUCUUUUGCUUCAUCAAGCAGGCUUUCAUACUUUUCAUUGGUUGCUUUUAGUACUAACUUCAAAUCUUCUAUUUGUGUUUCAUAAUGUUCCUGUUCAGCUUGGCUAGACAAAAACUUCUCUUUAGCUUCUCUUGCUUCUGAAGAAACUUCAUGCAAUGCUGAUGCCAAACUCUCCAUUGCCUUCUUACUUUUCUCUUCCUCCUCCCUGGAACUGUCCAACUCAUUUAUAAGUUUAUUUUUUUCUUCCAACAGGGAUUGAACACUUUCUGCCGCUAGUUUCUCUUGCUCAAUAGCCUGAGUUUUCUCCUCCUUCACGAUUUCAAGCUCAGCAAUAAGUGACUCAACCUUCUUUGACAUUUCAGAAGCUUCUUCCCUGGCAACCUGAGCACGACGUUCUGAUUCCUCAA